rnacentral:rRNA from 1 species
ACUCAAAUGAAUUGACGGGGACCCGCACAACCGGUGGAGCGUGUGGUUCAAUUCGAGACAAAGCGAAGCACCUAACCAAGUUUUGACAUGCUACCGUUUUAACCACCUAGAAAUAGGAGGCUAUCCGCAAGGAUGGUAGCACAGCUGCUGCAUGGCUGUCGUCAGCUCGUGCCGUGGGGUGUUCCCUUAAGUGGGAGAACGAGCGCAACCCGUAUCCAAUGUUAUAUGUUUCAUUGGAGACUGCCCUGAUUCUUAUCAGGGAGGAAGGAACGGAUGACGUCAAGUCAGCACGGCGCUUAUAACUUGGGUCACACACACCCUACAAUGGCGAAUAACAAUGGGACGCAAAGCCGUAAGGUUAAGCAAAUCCCUGAAAUUUCGCCUCAGUUCAGAUUGAGGUCUGCAACCCGACCUCAUGAAGUUGGAAUCGGUAGUAAUCGCAGAUCAGCAGGCUGCGGUGAAUACGUUCUCGGGUCUUGUACACACCGCCCGU